UCUGUUUUAGAACAAAGAAAAUUAAUUAAUUCAUUAAUUAAUUACAACUUAUUUUCGAUUUCAAUUUAAUUUUCGGUUGUAUUAUGGAAUUUUAGAGAUCCUACUAUAUGCUCAAAGUUCAAUAUGGAUUCAUUAGAUUCACAUUCUGAUGUGAAAAGACGUAAAUUCGACUUGACGUUUCCAAAUGAUGACAUCGAGGAUGCAAUUCGUUACUUGAAAAGUUUAAACGACUUGGAUAAAAUAGAAAAUCCGAUCAUCUUCAUGGAAGAAUAUUAUCGUGAACAUAGAAAAGGAAGAACCACUCGAAUCAAACACGAUGAAAACUUACGACCAUUAGUGAUAUUACGAGGUUCGAAUUGGGGCAAGACCCACCUCGCCAAGUACAUAAUGUUUUACCUCUCGUGUUGUAUGAAGGAUGGAGAUCUUCAAAGAUGGAAGAAACCAGAUGAAUUUUUAUUGGGAAAAGAGAAAUAUCAUUUGCGCGGUGAUGAUAUAUGUUUUGCGAACAUCAGAGGAGGUCGACGUUCCUGCGAGUUGUCCCUGAGUCAUGCAGAAAGGGGUUCGUUGUAACUGCAGAUGAUGAUGAGGGCCUAAAUUAUGAAGAAAAUAUUCGUAUUCGAAUUUUUGUGGGAAUAUCCAGUACCCUUAUCUUCUGCUAAACCGGCUAUUUGAACCAAAGUUGCAAUUUCCAUUAUUACAUUAUGCAACCAACGUUUUGUGGCGGUUAAAAAGAACCGGUUCUAAUGGCAAAUGGUAUGGAGUGUGAUUUCCUUUGGUUUCUGAAGAAUAAAGCAGGUGUUAAAUUUCGCUGAGUUGAUUUUGCGAAUACGAUGAUGAAAAAUUCAGUUCGAAUUGCAAUAGCUCAGGAUGAUGUUCGAAUGCGAUUUUUUUUCUACUGGUUUUCCGAGAAUGAACCAGAUGUUAAAUUUCACUGAGACGGUUUGGCGAACACGAUGACGAAUUUUGAGUUCGAAUUGCAGUAGCUCCGGAUGAUGUUCGAGUGCGGUUUUUUUCUACUGGUUUCCGGAGGUUCGUUGUAACUGCAGAUGAUGAUGAGGGCCUAAAUUAUGAAGAAAAUAUUCGUAUUCGAAUUUUUGUGGGAAUAUCCAGUACCCUUAUCUUCUGCUAAACCGGCUAUUUGAACCGAAGUUGCAAUUUCCAUUAUUACAUUAUGCAACCAACGUUUUGUGGCGGUUAAAAAGAACCGGUUCUAAUGGCAAAUGGUAUGGAGUGUGAUUUCCUUUGGUUUCUGAAGAAUAAAGCAGGUGUUAAAUUUCGCUGAGAUGAUUUUGCGAAUACGAUGAUGAAAAAUUCAGUUCGAAUUGCAAUAGCUCGGGAUGAUGUUCGAAUGCGAUUUUUUUUCUACUGGUUCUCCGAGAAUGAACCGGAUGUUAAAUUUCACUGAGACGGUUUGGCGAACACGAUGACGAAUUUUGAGUUCGAAUUGCAGUAGCUCCGGAUGAUGUUCGAGUGCGGUUUUUUUCUACUGGUUUCCGGAGAAUGAACCGGAUGUUAAAUUUCACUGAGAUCGUUUGGCGAACACGAUGACGAAUUUUGAGUUCGAAUUGCAGUAGCUCAGGAUGAUGUUCGGGUACAAUUUUUUUCCUACUGGUUUCUGGAGAUGUUUCAGAAUGAACCAGAUGUUAAAUUUCGCUGAGAUGAUUUUGCGAAUACGAUGAUGAAAAAUCGAGUUCGAAUUGCUGUAGCUCAGGAUGAUGUUCCAGUUCAAUUUUUUUUCUACGGUUCCUGGAGCAGGUUGAUGAUCAGAUGCUGUAGAAAUGAUGUUCGAGUUUUAUUUAUCAAGACUUUUCAAAUGGGUAAACGUUGUUUUUAUCGAACAGUGAUUGAACUUUGCGGAAUGCAAUCAACGAUUGAAGAAGUCAUGGGGAAUGGCUCAUCAUGAAAAAAUCUUUUGUUACGUUUUCCAGGUAACAUAGUAUUGUUGUGCAUUUCAAUUGCCCAAGAUAUCUCGGGAUUAGUUUUAUUACGUAUAUAUGAUCUAAGUGAACUUGAAUUUUAAGUUUGUCAAUGUGAUCCGUUUUUCUGGCAAUGCUUUGAUAUCCAUUGGAGACUUUUAGAUUUUUAAGCAAUUUUUAUCUCGCAUGAGCCUUUUAUUGGUCGCCAUGCACCAAUAUGAUACACUUUCACUUCAGAUUUCAUCGCUAUCGUUUGUAAAAAGUCAACAAACAUGAUGUUAUCUUAAUCUUUAUCCGCAUUCGCGUGAAUUUAGAUUCAUAUCCGGCUGUUUUUAAAAAACUUUAUCGUUUUAUAUGGGUGUUUCGAAGUACACGAGAUCAAUUUUUUUCCUGAUCACCGAGUAGGUUAUUGGUGGUAACUCAAUUGAAACAAAAAUCAUUUUCACAUAACUAGUUUUCCUAUUCAAGAAUACUUAAACUAUUCGUCAAGUAUUACGUAUUAGUUCAACGAGUCGACAUCCCUAAAGUGGAUUCUCAAUGAAUGAAUUUCCAGGGCUAGUACUCUCGGUUAUAAGUUACUAAAAUUACUAAAAGUAACUUUUGGUAAUUUUUUCAAAAUUUGGGUUACUGAAGUUACUUCUUUUUGAAAAUUUUCCGAAUUUUUCAAAUCCCCUAAAAAAAAUUUAUACGAGUAUCUAGAUAUUUAUGCCAAAAAUGCUGUGGAGAUAGGGGUCGGACAGGAGAAUAAUAUCUGCUUUUUGUUGGGUUGCGAACGCAUGGAUCAGCAAAGUGCUCAUCGAAUCAUGAUUCGCAUUAAACUGGAACGUACUAAGAUUACUCGUCAUAUUGAGAGUCUUUAUCUGAUCCUCCAUCCAUUACUGGAGCUUUGUAAAGUCAAAACUAUCCAUUUAUUUUCUCGAUAUGUUUGUUCAAAAUUGGACAACAAUACUGGCCAGUGCUAUGAUUGGUAGCGGUAACUCUUUUAUAGAAUGCUGUGUCUGUAAUAAUAUUCUAGAAAGUUUCUCAAAAUUCAGAAAAAAAUCAUACAAAACUUCAAAACAUUUGAACAUAAUAAGAAAUCAAUAAUAUCAUCUUUUAUUUACACAUGUAAGUAAUACACAUUAUUAUACCUUUCGUUUUUUUUGCUGCAGGUUUUUCAGCUCUAAAAACCUUUUUCUAGAAACCUCGGAUACAUUGAUCGUAUUAAUUGUUAAGUUUUCAAAUCCUGCUUCCGUCACUUUUUUGAUAACUGUUUGUAACUUGACAGGAAACGGAAUGGAGAAUUCCACAGUAUGUUCUGCUUUCUGUUGAAUUAACAAAAAAAAAAACGAACAUUAAUUUUUGAAACUAUAAAUGAAAAAAAAAAUCAAAAAUGAGACAAUUGAAUAAAAACUUACUUUCUCUAUCUUAACAUUCGACCAGGAUGACUCGUCGAAGAUGUUCUCCAAUAUAUAAAUGUAUUAAAAUCUGCUUUGAAAAGCUUGAUUGAAUGAUCAAUUUUGGCAUUUUGAGCUAGGACUUCAAAACUACUCUUUGAAUUUGCAUUGCCAGUCCUCUCAGUUCUUUACUAUGUAAAGUAUUUGUUUUAUGGUCAAACCCUUACUGUUUAAGUUACUUCAUUUGCAUGAUGAUCCUCGACUUUUGCCUUGUAAUAGUCUCUGAAUAUCUUGAAAUAUGAGAUUCCACUGGGAUUCACUUAAAAUUACAUCAUCUGGAUUUUUAGCAUGACUUAUCUUCUCUGGAGUGCUCUGGUACAACAUAGUUGAAGUGUUAGCAAAACGUUCCAAAGUAAUGAUUGCAGGGUUGCGAAUGUGAUUCUUAAUCGUCACCGCUUCUGGUGUCAGCUCAAAGUAAAUGGUAUUUGUGAUCUUAAACAGGCAAGAGAAAUCAGCUUGAGCGGUCUUAAGCUGUAAUGUGAGAGUGUCCUGAAACAUGACAAAAAAUAUUUCAAUAAUGGGUACUGAGACCUUAGAUAGGUAGAUGAACUUAUCUUAAACCCUAUAUAAAUGAUUAAUUGAGGAAUGAUUAUGAAAAAAAGUUAUCAUUACCUUUUCAAGGUGUAAAAUAUGGUUGGAGUGUAUAAGCGCUUCAGCAUUGUUAUGUUGCCGAAAAAAUUCAAGUGUUCAAAAAUAAAAAUAAUAUAAAUACAAGCAUGUGAAAAUUACAAUUAAAAUUACCUUGAUAGAAUUUGCAACAAUUUGCGAGAAUGGUUAAAAACAAACAAUUUGCGAAUAUAAUUAAACGAAUAGAAAAUGACUUGAGUUAUUAAUUAUUGUUAAAAUCACACAAUUAAAUAAAAAUGAAAAAUUCAACUCAAGCCAGUAAAAAAUUAGAAACUUGUAAAAUCUUUGUAUUGGAAUUUAAAUAAUUAAUAAUUCCUGCUGUUUUUUCAUCAGUUUUAUGAAAUUUUGUAUUUUAUCGGUCAGUGUUUGUAUUGCCAACCUUAAAUUUUCGAUACUUACUCAAUAUAAGCGAAUCAGUGUCCGUGUAAAGGAGUUCAGAUAAUUUUGUGGCUUGAAAAAUUAAAAAUGAAUACCCACUGAAUUUUCUAAAAAAAAAAAUUUAAAUGAUGGUUUUGCUAUGUUCUCAAAUAAUUUGAUAAUAAUUGGAAGCUCUUUAUUACAUCAAUUCUUAUACAAUUGUUAAAGUUUUACCUUAAACACUUGUGAAAUGAAAUAAUUGGAAAAUAGAAAAGUGAAUGAAUUCACCAUAUAAGAAUAUCGAGUUAAAUAUUUAGUAUAAGUAUUUUAAUUAUACACUCCGCACUCGCGAAAAGAAUUGAUUUAGAAAAUUUGGAAGAUCGAGUGAAUUUACAAAAUAAAAUGUAUAGUCACAAAAAUAUGAAUUACACAAAAUUUGAAAGUGAAUUAUUAAUAUUUAUAUAAAAACUAUUAACACGAAAUAAAAUACCAAAUAAAAAUAUCAGUAACACCAAAAACUUAGUAAAAUCAACUUGGUUAAAUAUAUAUUAGAUAUUGGAAUGAGAGAUGUCAGGUUACUAACUGUACAACUAUAUUACAAAGAUGCUACUUGAUGAGCUUUACUUGACUAACUGUACUGUCAAAAUCGUCUGAAGAACUGUCAUUGGACAAAUCAAAAGGUAUUGUACUCACUCAUGAUCAACUGAGGUAUCACCAUCUUCAUCAUCCGUUCCAUCCAAUGCAUCCUAGAAUAAAUAAAAGCCUAUGGAAAACUUCACUUUUUAACUAAAACUUAUUAUUCAUUUUACCAUGAAAUUAAAAGUUCAAUGCUCAAGUUUGGAAAUGCCUGUCUGUGGCCAACAGAAGAUAUGCCGUAUACUCACAAGGCAAAUUCCACAGUUCGAGGUCGAGUUCCUCCAUCUCUUUGAUCUGUGACUUGGCCCGAGUUUGUCAAACAUGCUUUCUUAGCUUUCAGGCUUGAUGGCAAAAUACCAUCUAUAAUUUCGUCUAAAUUGAAAUAUCCGUCAUAAAGAAUUGUGAAAAAUUCUUUAUCCGUUUUUUUGGGUGAAUUUUCUAUAUUACUGUAAUGGAGGUUUAAAAUUUUUACCAUAAUUGUCCAAUCAUGUGGACUUAGAAUUUCCGGGUGGUCAGGUUGGUACAGUUUUAGAAUAUUAUCUAAAUUUCUAAAUCUGUGUUUAACUAUUUGUGAGGGAAUCAAAUUUUCGUUGUCAUAAAUUUGGAUUGUUUUUACUUUAUCGUGGGCUCUUUCAGAAAAAUAUAGGAAAAAAUUUUCUUUUAAAUCAGUUACAAUUUUUUUAGGAAGCCAGAACAAAUUUUUUUCAUGUAUUAAUACAAGGGGUUCAGGGGUUUUAUAAAAAAGGGAUAUUUCGCCAGCUGCCUGGCAAUACAAGGUUGUUGGAUUUUUUGACAUUUUUUUUAAAUAAAUUUUUUAAAAACAAAAAAAAACAACAAAAAUUCCAAAAAAAUUGAAAAUAAGUUCAAAUAUUGAUUUAUAGAAACUGAAAAAAAAAUGAAAGUAGGUAAUUUUUUAAAAACAAACAAAAUUGAAAAGACAGAGAAUUUUAAAACCCUGAUAGGCUGAUUGAGCUUCAGAUAACCUGUGUUGAAUAGAUUUAGACACUGAAGCCGUCAUGAAUUGUAGUGCUUGAGCAUCAAGCACCACUCUUUUGGAUGGAGAAACCUUCACUGUUUCACCUUCUUCAGACUCAAUAAAAGGAAGUAAGCUUAGAGCUUUUAAAUCUAACUCAAUCAUAGUUUUCCAUUAUGGGUGAAAAUAGUGGUGAAAGCAUACAUAUCGUCGAUAGGGAAAUGGUCAGAAAAUAGUCGUUAUUCGAGAGAUUGACAAGAUGACAUAAAUUUUAUAGUUAUUAUUAAAAAUUAUAAAUUAGUUUUUAUUAAAAUUCAAUUUAAAUAAAUUAUUUAUUUUUCAUUAAAUAGCCAUAGCUAAUUUUAUAUUGCAACGAGGGCCAUAAAGGGGGUGAUAAAUAUGUACAAAAGUAUAAUGCAACUUAGUAGUUGCAAUUAGUUGCUGGCAACUUAACACCUCCCCCCUGGUAAAAAAUUUUUUACAUGAAAAAUUUCAAAAAUUGAUAUAAGACUAGAAGAUGUCUAUAUAAUAAGAAAUAUAAAUUAACUAGAUAAUACAUAUAAUUAGAAAAAUUGAAAUUUUAAAAUUACACAAUAUUUUAAAUCUACACUAGGUAUUUACACUAGCUCCUCCCUGCAAUCUGAACCUUCUUUACAUUUGGGGUUGUCACACAUUCUAUCAUUAAUCAAAUCUGGAAUUGAAUCGCAGCUUAUUCCUCCCGCUGGAUAUCUUAUUGUUGAUGGACCUGGUUGUGCUGUGUUUAGUGUGGGACUAGAUGGAGCCAUUAGUCCAAUCUCAUCAAGUAGAAUUGUAUUUAGUUUUUGGGUUUCCAAAAAAUCUUCCUCUAGUUUCAAGUGGGAUUUCAGGUUCGAUAUCCCUGGUUAGAUUGGUCAUCAGGCUGACCCUGUGGUCGUUCUCCGGCACGUAUUCCAUUUGAGCCAAAUACUUCUGUAUUCAGCUGUAAUAAAAAAUUUGAUUUGAAAUUUUAAAAAAAAAUUAAUUUACGCUGUCAAGUUGAUUUAUCUUCUGUCUCCACUUCAUCUUCGUGUCCUCUAACUCCUUGGACAUUUGAUCUACCCACUCUCUCAUUUUAAACAAUACACCACAAAAAAAAAACAAAAGGAAAAAAACUAAAAAUUUAAAAUGUACACAAACAAGACAAUUAGAGUCAGUGCAAUUUAUUUAGGCGACUGAGCGUUCAAAAUCGCGUAAGCAGUAACCAACGAGAACUACGAGAAGCAACAUAUGUCUGUCCAUCGUUGGUCCAUCAAAAAAAAAAUUGAAAAUUACCACUCUUACCCAACUUUUUCCAAGGGCAUGUCUCACUUGAGCAGGGCUGACAACAGGCUCCACAUUAAAGAGUCCAACAACAGGUCCCUUGUUACAGUGGUAGUUUUGAACAGACACAUGCUUGAGUUCACGUAGAGUAGGAAAGUUGACACAAUAGUACUGUUUUCGUUUUAAAUAUAAAUUACGCAAAAACAAGUUGCAAAAAUAAAAUAACAUAGAUACAUAUUCACAAAGAAAUGAUUUUAAAAAAUCACCCCACACACAACGUUGUUAAAAAAAAAAUUAUAUGAAACUGUCUUGCUGAGCUAGGCUGUGAAUAAGCUGCUCCUGUUCACCUUUUGGGGGGGGGGGUGGCGACUCCGAACAGGGCAGAAUUCCCUACCAAUGUGAUACUUUUUAGAAACUUUCAUAUUCAAAUAUUCAGUGAAAUUGUGAGCUAGCUCUCACAUUUUGGUAGUGGUUAAACCAUAACUAAGAUUACUUACAGCUUGUAUAUUAGAAAAAAAUGGUUUUGAAAUUUAUCUCAAUGAUAAUUUUUUUUAAAAUCAAUUUUAAUUUCGGUUCUUGGAUAGUAUUUAAAGGGAUUUUUCAAAUUGGCUAUUAUAAUCCUACAUUGCUCAUAUGUCAGUUGGGUAUUAUGAAAUCUAUUUCUUAUGUGUUCUUUUUUUUGAACAAAAUCGGAAUAUUCAUGGGGAGGGUAUAUUGAGGCUGUUGGGUAGAUUUUACAAUAAUAACAGUUGAAAUUUUGUGUCAGAAUUUUUUCGGCGAUAUCCGUGACAUUAGUGUAUUCUAGGUACAUUUUGUGUACCAUCACUUUAUUGAUAUUUUGAGGGAGUGGCAACCUGCGGGCAUAUUCAUAGCAUCUUUUACAGCUAUGAACAGAUGGCAAAAUACCAUCUAUAAUUUCGUCUAAAUUGAAAUAUCGGUCAUAAAGAAUUGUGAAAAAUUCUUUAUCCGUUUUUUUGGGUGAAUUUUCUAUAUUACUGUAAUGGAGGUUUAAAAUUUUUACCAUAAUUGUCCAAUCAUGUGGACUUAAAAUUUCCGGGUGGUCAGGUUGGUACAGUUUUAGAAUAUUAUCUAAAUUUCUAAAUCUGUGUUUAACUAUUUGCGAGGGAAUCCAAUUUUUGUUGUCAUAAAUUUGGAUUGUUUUUACUUUAUCAUGGGCUCUUUCAGAAAAAUAUAGGAAAAAAUUUCCUUUUAAAUCAGUUACAAUUUUUUUAGGAAGCCAGAACGAAUUUUUUUCAUGUAUUAAUACAAGGGGUUCAGGGGUUUUUAAAAAAAGGGAUAUUUCGCCAGCUGCCUGGCAAUACAAGGUUGUUGGAUUUUUUGACAUUUUUUUAAAAUAAAUUUUUUAAAAACAAAAAAAAACAACAAAAAUUCCAAAAAAAUUGAAAAUAAGUUCAAAUAUUGAUUUAUAGAAACUGAAAAAAAAUUGAAAGUAGGUAAUUUUUUAAAAACAAACAAAAUUGAAAAGACAGAGAAUUUCAAAACCCUGAUAGGCUGAUUGAGCUUCAGAUAACCUGUGUUGAAUAGAUUUAGACACUGAAGCCGUCAAGAAUUGUAGUGCCUGAGCAUCAAGCACCACCCUUUUGGAUGGAGAAACCUUCACUGUUUCACCUCCUUCAGACUCAAUAAAAGGAAGUAAGCUUAGAGCUUUUAAAUCUAACUCAAUCAUAGUUUUCCAUUAUGGGUGAAAAUAGUGGCAAAAGCGUACGUAUCGUCGAUAGGGAAAUGGUCGGAAAAUAGUCGUUAUUCGAGAGAUUGACAAGAUGACAGAAAUUUUAUAGUUAUUAUUAAAAAUUAUAAAUUAGUUUUUAUUAAAAUUCAAUUUAAAUAAAUUAUUUAUUUUUUAUUAAAUAGCCAUAGCUAAUUUUAUAUUGCAACAAGGGCCAUAAAGGGAAUGAUAAAUAUGUACGAAAGUAUACUUAUGCAACUUAGUAGUUGCAAUUAGUUGCUGGCAACUUAACACCUCCCCCCUUGGAAAAAAAUUUUUACAUAAAAAAUUUCAAUAAUUGAUAUAAGACUAGAAGAUGUCUAUAUAAUAAGAAAUAUAAAUUAACUAGAUAAUACAUAUAAUUAGAAAAAUUGAAAUUUUAAAAUUACACAAUAUUUUAAAUCUACACUAGGUAUUUACACUAGCUCCUCCAUGCAAUCUGAACCUUCUUUACAUUUGGGGUUGUCACACAUUAUAUCAUUAAUCCGAUCUGGAAUUGAAUCACAGCUUCCUCCUGCUGGAUAUCUUAUUGUUGAUGGACCUGGUUGUGGUGUGUUUAGUGUGGGACUAGAUGGAGCCAUUAGUCCAAUCUCAUCAAGUAGAAUUGUAUUCAGUUUUUGGGUUUCCUUUUUAAUCUUCCUCUACUUUCAAGUGGGAUUUCAAGUUCGAUAUCCUCUCUAGUGGGCGUAUAUUCUUCAUCCUUUUGCGUGCAAUUUGUAAUUGCUUUUGCUAUGAAGCAAUUUGUGAAACAUUGAGCACAAUUAGAAUUUGUUGGAAUGGGGGCUUCAAUUGGAACUCUUUGGUAGGUAAGGGUAUUUUUUGCUUUUUCUUUCCUUAAUUAAUGCAUUGAAUUAGAAGUUUCAAAAUGAAGAUUGUAAUAAUGAAAGUGUUAUGUUCCUUCACUAAAAAAAAUUGAAAAUACGUAUACUUAAUGGAAAUAAUUUUAAUCAUGCAAUUUUAGAAAUUAAAAAUUGUCACUGAAUAAAAAUGAAAAAAAAUUUACAACAUGCAUAAAAUAAAUAUUAAAAUUAACUUACAUUAAAACUGGAUUCAUAUUGGUUUAAAUUUGACAAUUAAAAUUGACGCAAUAUCGUAAUUUGGCGAAUUCUGGAAAUAGACACUGCUGGCAACUCGCAAAUUGGAUAUUUGAUUAAAAUUGACAAAUUUUGGAGUGUGCGUAAAUUGGCGAAAAUUUAAUUAAUUGACUAGAAUUUGAGAGCAACAAGUUCCUUUAAUGAAUCUCUUCAAUAACCAAAAAAUAAUUCGAACUUAGGCGGAAAAACAAACUUUUUACUGCUAUUCUCGAUGAUUUCGAAUAAAAAAUUUAAAAUGGUAAAAGAAAACUUUGAAUAUUUUACAACCGAAUGACAGAGCGGACUCAAGCACAGAGACUGACUGAUAGAAAUACUGGACAUGAAUUUAGCGAUUUUGGGGGUUUAUAUGUAAAAAGGGUCGAAAAAUGGCAGAAAAUCGUGGUGCCAGUCAGUCGGAGGGUUUAUUUUGUUCUAUGUCUAAAGGAGGCCAAAUACUGUACUCAAGUACAUAUAUAGCCAAGAUCUGCCAUCCAAUCAUAAAAUUAUGAUUAAUAUCGUAGAUGGUGUGGUUACACCAAACACAGAUUAACAUGUCCUGAAUAUUUCUAAUGGUAUUUUCUACCAAAUUUAUGAUGUCCAUUUUAUAUUACAUACUUACUAUUAUUUGUAUGAAUGAUGUGACCUACCCUUGCCACAAAAACUUUCAGACCUGCUGAGUUCAGAACCAAAAAAAAAAAAUUCCCUUACCUAAAUACCCAAACAAAUUGUUGUCAUUGGAAAUGGAAACUCCAAGCUGGACAUUACAGUUUUCCGCCUGUUGCCUUCAAAAAUGCCUCCAAUCUUUGAAAUCUGACUUCUCUUAGCUCCAUUUUUUCUUCUUUUUUCUCUAUGAAUCUGAAGUAUAAAAAAAAAGUAUAUAUAAAUGAUAGAACUUGUUUAGAACUUGUUUAUUGGAAUCUUCUUUGAGUUUCCCUUGAAUAGACCAGGUGUUUCCUCAGGUUCUGACUGGAUACCAAGUUAGAAGGAAAGCGACGGCAGAACUCGUACAGACUGGAUACCGAAUAGAGUACGGGUUGAAAAAAAUGUAAAACAGAGAUUUAGAAAAAUGGAAAUGAAAAAUAUUUUAUGUGUGAUGCCUCGGUCAAUUCGUUUGACGAUUCUGUUGAAAAAUAUUUGGCCAAAUUGCAACAAGACUGUUGCCAAGUUGCAUAACAUAGAAGUUCUAUUAGACCUGAAUACUGUAAUUAUUCCGAAACAACCACUUCAUCUUCGUGUCCUCUAACUCCUUGGACAUUUGAUCUACCAACUCUCUCAUUUUAAACAAUACACCACAAAAAAAACAAAAAACAAAAGGAAAAAAACUAAAAAUUUAAAAUGUACACAAACAAGACAAUUACAGUCGGUGCAAUUUAUUUAGGCGACUGAGCGUUCAAAAUCGCGUAAGCAGUAACCAACAAGAACUACGAGUAGCAACAAAUGUCUGUCCAUCGUUGGCCCAUAAAAAAAAAUUAAAAAUUACCACUCUUACCCAGCUUUUUCCAAGGGCAUAUCUCACUUGAGCAGGGCUGACGACAGGCUCCACAUUAAAGAGUCCAAUGACAGGUCCCUUGUUACAGUGAUAGUUUUGAACAGACACAUGCUUGAGUUCACGUAAAGAAGCAAACUUGACACAAUAGUACUGUUUUUGUUUUAAAUAUAAAUUACGCAAAAACAAGUUGCAAAAAUAAAAUAACAUAGAUACAUAUUCACAAAAAAAUGAUUUAAAAAAAUCACCCCACACACAACAUUGUUAAAAAAAAUCACAUGAAACUGUCUUUCUGAGCUAGGCUGUGAAUAAGCUGCUCCUGUUCACCUGUUUGGGGGGGAGGGGGAGAUGGCGGCUCGGAACAGGUCAGAAUUUCCUACCAAUGUGAUACUUUAUAGAUACUUUCAUAUUCAAAUAUUCAGUGAAGUUGUGAGCUAGCUCUCGCAUUUUGGUAGUGGUUAAACUAUAACUGAGAUUACUUACAGCUUGUAUGAUAUGCAGAUGAUUGUCCCUACAUAUUGUUACAACUUUAACAGAGAUUGUAUUUUUAAAAAGAUUUAUUUGUUCGGCUCCACAUCGGAAUCCGAACCACACAGGUUAAAGUCACAACAAUGAAUACAGACGAAACUGUAUCUGAUUAACAUAGAAUAACUCUAGAAGAAGUCUGCCUAUUCCUAUGAUAGUUGUUACAUUGUAGAUGUUCUGAAUAAAAAUUUUAAAUAAACUAAUGAUGAAGUUAGACAGAGUACCAAUAAAUGUGACGCGUCCGACUUUCCACAGAUUUGGAAAAUGUCCGCUGGAGACUCACUGAUUAAAUAUCUCUGGAAGGAUAUCUGGUUUGGUGAGGUUAAGGGCUUUAACAACCUUGUAACCGAGACCAUCUGGUCCAGGUGCGCUGCGGUUGUUGGUUGUCUUUAAAAUACUGGACACCGCUUCGCAGGUAAUAACAUGACGUAACAUAACCAAAUUCAUUCUUUCUUCCGAUUGCGGAAUUCUUUUAUGGCAGCUUUUCUGGCGUCAUCGCCCAAACGAUAGUCUACCAUCCCUAAAAAGAAAAAAAAAUCAUUAAAUUAUUGAACAAUAAAUUUAAUUUUAAAUUUUAAAUUUCCUGAAAAAUGAUAUACAAAUUCUUACUUACUUCACGUUUCAAUCGUUCUUUUUAUCCUAUUGAUAUCAGUAUGUUAGAUUUGGCAAAGAGACAAAAAAAAAUCCAGGUUGAAGACAGGAAUCAGUGACAGAAAAAGAUCGAAUCAUUAUCUAAUUAAAUAAAUUUUUGAUGAAAAAACAAAUUAUUGAACAUAAUAUGUAUAACGAGAAUUUACAUAUAAGGAAUAGGCGCAACAUUGGCUACCUUUUAAAUAUAAUUUUGUUUAGUUCCAGGCUCUAGUAGAUUUUUGGGUAUUUUAGUUUACUACUAUACUUCCCAAUAGAUGCAAACGUUUUGGGAGGAUGGCAGAAGUUACUUUGAAAUCUAACUGUAACAUCAAUUAUAAUGAUAAAUGAAACCAAAAAUUUUGAAAUUUGCCCACAUCGGCUAAUUCUGGGAUGAAAAAAUAUUCUCACUAAAAUUAUCAAAUAUGCCAAAAAUGAUUAAAGAUGUUAUAAUACAAUUUACUAAUGUAUGUAUGUAACCCAAAUUUGUUCAAAAUCAAAUCGACAUAAAUAAUACCCGAGAGUAAAGAAAAAUAUGUCGUUUUAGACAUGUUUUCGAUGUUUACUAGUGUACUUAAAAAAUCCACUAUAGUGUGAGGCAUCCUUUGAAAUCUUGCACAAAUAAACCUGCAGCCAUGGUUUCAAAAUCUUUUUGGGUGCUGAAUGGAAUGGCAUACCUAUUGAUUAACAAAACAUAUUAUAUAGUGAUUAAAAUUUAAACAAAGUCAUGUCAUAACUAUCAAACACUGCAAAUAUUUAUAUUUUAUUUUUAUGGUUGCAAGUAACAAUAAAUAUGCAUAAUAUGAAUACUAGAAAAAAUAAAAACAACAAUACUGAUAAAUUAAGUAGAUGGGUAGUUGACUAGAAGACAAAAGCAAUGAAAUUCAUUAAAAAAAUGAACUUAGAGCAAAAAUAUGAAUGAUGCAAACAUUCAGGGACUGUCUAGAAAAGUACUAGACACUAUAGAUAUUAGUCUCCAAGGUGCUCUCAUUCUCAUUUUCGUCCUCAUCGCUGCUACUAGAUAGUGCUAUUGGAUGUACAUAUCUAAUCAUCUUCCGCCUCUUCCUGAUCUGGAUUUCUUUAUUUCUUGCACUCUGAAAGAAUUAAAUAAUGAAUUAAAAUGAAAAAUAAAUGUAUUCAAGUACUUGACAUUACAAAACGAUGAUUGCCAGUCCCUCCCAUACUUUUGCUGGACUACAAAAAUGCUUCCAAUUUUGUCUAAGUUUCCCUUGACUUCCUUAUGUUGUAAUUUUGCUUGUUCCGGAUGUAUUCCAGUAGGGGAGUUUCGCCGGUUCUGAGCCACCCCCCGCAGGAGCAAUGCUUCCUGUGCUCCUGUGGCUCCUGCGAGGGGUGGAUUUCAAUGUUAAUUUGUGGCUCAGAAAUGUUUGCUCCUGCGAGAGCUAAUUUUUUUCAAUUUGCUCCUGUAAGAGCAAGAUUUUUUCCUAGUGGCCGAAAAUUUUAAAGAAAACGGGUCUCCAUUUUACAUUUACCACCGAAUUGACUUUCUUAAUGGGUCCCCUACCCAUCCCCCCUCUCCCUCGCAAUAAUUAUCGAAAUAAAAUUACCUAAAUUUAUUAACAUAUUCAAAACAUUUGUACAUAAUAUAUACAAUUUCUCCAAAAUUUAAUAUAAAAAAUAGCUUAAUUUUAAAAUUUAAAAAUAACAAUUUUUUGCAACCUUACUUAAAAUUAAAAAAUCAACUUCCGGCGACAUUUAAUCGCACGCCUUUCUAUAGAGGUGCGCCGGAUAUUUCCAAGCUCAUUUAAAUCACUGAAAUCUGGCAUCAUCUGAAAGAUCACCUCACACCCCCACUGAUCCUGAAAAAAAAAACAAAAAACAAAAAAUUAAUAAAUGAAAAAAAUUAAUGUAGGUACCUACAUUAAACUUAUUAAAAAAUACUUACAUAACUCAGUACCCUUGGCUGGUAUAUGGAGUACCAAAUUUCAACCACAACUGACAGAACAUAUCCGCAUGUGAUUGGGAUGGGUGCUCUUGUAUUCUGCGGACAAUCCUCACAAAAUUUUGGUCUCCGCAGAGAAAAUCGAAAUACGUACUCCAUGGGCUGAAACAGGAAAAAAUAGAAAUUGAAACAAUUCAAAACAGAAAAAUUCUUCAAUUUAUUUGAAAAAAUAUGCAUAUUUCAAAAAAAAUUACCUUUUCCACUAGGGCGUAAUUUACAGGCGUGCUUUCAAAAGAAAGCUUUCGUUUUACACCCCUUGGGGGGGGGGGCUCGUUGGCGCCAUUGAGAGGAACCUCCGAUUGUCCUGAAAAUUAAAAAUAAUUCGUUAGGUACAGGUAAGUAUAUGCAUGCAACAUAUAAUGUAAAAUCAAUAGGUACUAACCUUGUUAUAAAUUCUAUUAAACGGGAAGGUGAAUGCAUCAGAUGACAGGGAGUAUUCCAUGCACUCCAUGGAUGCGUCAAAGGUUAUGGAGUAUUCCAUUCUCUCCACAUCCACCACUUUCAUUGGAGUUGAGCAGGUGAAGACUCCAGCACAGAAACUCUGAAACAAAAACUUAAAAUUAGAGGAAUAUGUCAAAAACACUCCAAAAUUACUUAAAUUACAAUAAAAACACGAAAAAAAUCGAAUAAAAACAUGAAAAAAUCGAAUAAAAACCUAAAAAAAUCGAUUAAAUUGAAAAAAAAUGAUUUGAAAAAAUAAAAACGAUAAAAUACACACAAAUGUGCGUAAAUACGACCAGAAACGAGUUGAAAAUUGAAUUAAAAACGUGUUAAAAUUACGCAAAUUACAAUAAAAUAAUGAAAAUUUCACCAUAAAAACAUUUAAAAAUAAAUACACAUGAAAAUCGACUAUAAAAAAUUUUUAAAAAUAAAAUAACGCGAAAUGCGGCAAAAAACACAAUUUCACCCCCCCCCCCAAAAAAAAAAAAAUUAAAACACCCAAAAAUGAAGAAAAAUACGCGAAAAUGUAUGUAAAUAUGAUUAAAACGACAUCAAAAUCGAUAAAAAAAAUUCAAAAAACAUCCACAAAUCGAUAAAAUAGACAAAUUUGAUCCAAAAAACGAUAAAAAACACGAAUUACGAGUUAAAAAUACGAGAAAAUCGGCUCCAGUGCUCUCAUUCCCCGAUUCUCAUUUUUUAUAUGCAUCCUUGAUAGGUUGGAACUUGUUUUCAACCUGUGUAGCAGUCAGUACUUGGCCUUGUUGAGUCAUUUCUUCAGCAAUACUCUUAUACAGGUGGCUCACUGAUUUGAAUUUUUUACCACCUGAAGGUUUCCAUUCCUCAUACAUAUAAAGCGAGCAUAAACUACACUAUGUUCCUUGGUGGCAUACGUGGAAUUUCGAGACGAGUACAAAUUGAAAUCCCCACCAACAACUGCUGGACGGUCGAAGCUGGAGGUGAUGAAAGCCAACUUGUCCAUGACCGGAAUUAGAUUGGUGGCUAGUGGACGAGUACGAAUGGGUGGUACGUACACUGAGACAAAUAGGGCACCUAGAACUGUUGCCGGGACAAUAUCAGUGCCUUGGGUUUUCAGGACAGAAAAUGGCAGUUUAUGGUGAAUCAAUAAAGCGGUGUGAUUGUUCAGUAUAAUAUUCCACCCACUGAAUGAAAGGGUGCCAUUAUAAAGGUAGGGAUCCGACAGUAGAACGAUGUCCACCUUUUUCUGGAUUGCCAACACGUGAAGCAAUGAAGUACUCAUUGCAUCAUGGUUGGCAUUGAACUGAAGCACGGAUAGUUCACUGGCCAUGAUUUUGUUCUGAGUCGGAUCCUCCGUCCGUUGCUGCUGGGAUUUUGUAGAGUUGGUAUUGACCUUCGAUUUUUUGGAUCUGCCUAUUCAGUAUUGGGUAGCAGUAUUGUCCAGUGGUAUGAUCCGAAGCGGUGACUAAACGAUAACAAGGAAGCUUACAGCACUUGAUUUCGGAAUUAUAGAAGUGACAGUCUUUGCACUCCAUUGCUUGGAUGUUGGAUGGAACUAGUUCUUUAAAUCGACAGUAUUUUGUUGGGUGACCAGAUAUACCGCAAUCACCACAUCUGACCACUUGUAUACUGCUGUCAACAGGACAACGAUCGUAUCCUAUUUUUAUCGUAGAGUGUCCAGUGGACUCCAAGUACGUUUCAUAGUCCGAUUUAAUAAAGGCGAUAACAACGUUGGCUUUUUUGGUGUCUUUAUAUUUAACAAACUUCACUUCAAGCGGAUGUUGGCCCCAGGACCGGCAGACGUCAAAGGUGAUUUGAUCCACAGUAGUAUCGCAGGGUAUGUUAUGAAUACAGACUUCAUGACAGCGGCUCUGUGAAGUUUUAGUACCCAAACCUGGUAGGGAAUUAACGGAUUCAGAGAAUUUCUGAGCAGUGGCCUUAUCCCGGCAUUUACCUGAUAGAAAUUUUAUUGCCGCGCGGAGAUUCAACUUUCUAGGGUCGAGGUUUUUCCGGAGUAUGUCGGUGACUGGAGUUUUCUCAUUCUUUUCGGGAACCAUGAGGGCAUUAUUGUCUGACAGUAGUCAAGAUUUUGGUUGUGGUUGCACCCGAGGAGGUGGCUGGUCUUGCAUGGACUGUUGGUGAUUCCGAGCCUCGCAGUCUUCCUUUUCACGAGCCUCGAUUCGGAGAAGUGCGCGCUGCGGAGCCUUGCUGAAUUGCCACGCUUUGUUAUCAUUGGUGGUGUCAGCAACUGAGCGAUGUUCUUUAUUAAGUUGUCGAGUAGUGGAGGCAGUACUUCGUUGACUGGCUACCGAUGCAUCGCGAUUAUGAUGUGCCUUGUUCUGCAACUCUAGAGAGUUCCGUCGGGACUGAGUCUUUCGCCUAUGAUUUUGCAAGUUCAUUCAAUUGAAAUUUGUAAAAAAUUGAAAACAAAAUUAAAUCAUAAAGUAGUAGUUCCAAGUUCACUAAAUAAUGCAUAAAUCAAUAAGUAAUGAAUACAGUUACCACUACUGACCAACUGAGGAACUGGAACUGGAUACUAACACUCGUGCUGCUUCCAGCUUUACAAUGUAAAUUACAUUUUCUGAAAUAUGAAAAUUGAUUAUUAGAUUAAUGUUAAAGAGUUUUAAGUUACAAUAACAAUAAAUAUGAAAACAGUCAUACUUUUUUGAUGAGCAGUAGGUACACUUUAAGAACUCAUUUUUUUCGCAAUUCAAAACUUUAAUAUUAAACAAAACUUUAGGAAAUUUUAUUUAAUUAAGUGGAAAUGGAAAGUGUAAUAAAAACUUUAUCCAGGAAUUCUUUCAUCAUUCAUUCAAGUGAUGCGAUGUCAAUUAUGCCAGUUACUAAUUAAUUGAGAAACUGAACUAUUUUGAAUAUAAAUUUAUUGUAUGAAACUUUACACUGUACAAAAACCUAAAGUACCAUGGCCAGGCUGGCAUCCUUUCAAGGGGAUAUGAUGGUACAACCUAUUGAAGAACAAAUUAUGCAUAUCUUAUUUUUUAUAAUUAUACAUUAAUAUUUUAUCGCAACACCAAUAAAAAAAAUACUCAUCAGAAAAAACUUAUAAUUAAAAGAAAAAAAAAAUCAUUUCGGUUCUGUGAUGUUUUUGAGAGAACAACAAAAUUUUAACACAAGAGAGAGGCAUUAAAAAAAAAUUUGAAGGAGAUCUGACAAGAAAUUUGAGGGAGUUGGGCACACAUAACACCAUAAAAAUUUAAAAAUACUUACUGAAAAUAUUUUACAAACUUGAAGUAGAAUGAACUUCCAGUAUUGAGCACAUAGGCUGCGCAUAUGUUCUUCUGCUUUAAAGAGUAAGCUUGGGAAAACAUUUAGUAAUCACUCUGUCAUAUUUUUCAAUUAAUUUCAGGAAUUGAGCAUCUUCUAUUGUCAACACUGUAGAAACAGAAACAUCCUGAAUACAUAGUUUUCAAUGCUGGAUAAGCAUAUUAAUUAGAAUCACAUUUCUUUCUCAAUCUUUCUUCUUGUUUUUGGCCGUAUUUGAUCAAAUCUUCACGUUUAACAUAUGCCAUGCCUAUGUCACUUUGGCGAAAGGCAACUGCGUUCACAGUACAAUUCUUGUACUCGCCUGGAACUUUAUAUUUUCUAACAUAAAUCUGUCGUAAAGCAAUAAUAAGCCUCUUUUUCAUUUCUUCAGUACUUGUGUUCUUCUUUUGCAAGAACUUAGAUUCAAAUAUGUACGCUGGCUUGGUUUCGUCACUAGGAAGCAAAAUCAUAUCAGCUACGCCAUACCCUGUGACACUUUCCAAGUCACGAUUAUACUGUUGGCAGAUAACGAAGUAUCGGAACACUCCAUUUCAGAAGCCAUUUUCGUUAUGGAUACCUCCAUGCAUUUCUUCAAAACACUUCACAAGGAAUGGCUGUCCUAAUAACUGCGCCAAUUUUGUUAACUUCAAACGCGAGCUUAGAUUUUUAAAAAGUUUAUUUCCUUGAACCCAACAGGAAUGAGGCACACAAAUACAGAAAUUGUUAGUUCUUUCACUCCAAAAAAAAAAAAAAAAACAAGAAUGAGUGAAAUUGAAAUAAAUUUAAUCGUGCAAAUUUAAAAUUAUAAAAUAGUCACCAAAUAAUAAAAUUUACAACAUGCAUAAAAUUAAAUAACUUAAACAUUAAAAUUAACUUACAACAAUUGAGAAUUCAUUUUUCUUAUGGUAAAAUAUUUCGUAGCAGCGGAACAUUUGACCUUCUUUCAGACAAUUAUAGAAUUUGACAUAUCCUCUUUCAGUAGCAAUUAAAUCAGCUUUAUCACUCUUGUUAGGACUGGAUAUUAUUUUAGGAUUAGGUAUUCAAUACCUUUGAUUUACAUAGAUAACUGCAAUCAUUUACAAAAUGAUCCGUUGCACCAGAAUCACUCUAGAGUAUCAUUACUAACUCUUACAGGUAUACAACUUUUUACUAUUACCUUUAGAUCGCACCACUGCUAUGUUUGCAUGACCAUGACCAUUAUCAGACAAAGAUGAUGAAUUGCUUGUAGAAGAAGAGGGUGAUGACAAACUACUGGUCGAUGUAGAUCUCUUGUGCUUCGCAGAACGCGCCGAUGAUUUUUUAGUUUUUCUAGAAUGAAGGUGUUUUUGUUUACAGUAACCUGAUGGCUUUUCCUUUUUACUUCAGGGACCACCACGACCAGAUUUUUCUUCUCAGUGUGAGGCUACUUCUGUUUGUGUUUGCAGACCAUUAUAGUUUCUGUUCUGGUAAUUGGAAUUAUUCUGAUCAUAAUUUCUAGCUCUCUGGUUCUGGAAGCAAUCCUUUGUUAGAUGUCCUGUUUUAUGACACACAUAACAUAUAGCCUCUGAUCUGAAAUUGAUUUUCUAUCUUUUAUUAAUCUGGCACUGGCAGGAGUGUUGAGCCAAUACCUUUAUUUGGCACAUAGCCAGGUGCAUUAAUUUCAGCUUCCAUUGACCUCAGAAUUUUUUAGCACAUUUCUCUAUUUAUACUGGCUAGAGAGUCGGCCGCUUUUCUCAGACAUCAAACAGCUGACCUUACUUGAGUUUGUUGUAUCAGAGACAGAAUCAGCUGCCAUUGACCUCAGAAUCUUUUAGCACAUUUCUCUAUUUAUACUGGCUGGAGAGUCAGCCGCUUUUCUCAGACAUCAAACAGCUGCCUUUACUUGAGUUUGUUGUAUCAGAGACGGUUUCAGCUACCAUUGACCUCAGAAUUAUUUAGCACAUUUCUCUAUUUAUACUGGCUAGAUAGUCAGCAGCUUUUCUCAGACAUCAAACAGCUGCCCUUACUUGAGUUUGUUGUAUCAGAUACGGAUUCAGCUGCCAUUGACCUCAAAAUUUUUUGGCACAUUUCUCUAUUUAUACUGGCUAGAGAGUCAGCAGCUUUUCUCAGACAUCGAACAGCUGCCCUUACUUGAGUUUGUUGUAUCAGAGACGGAUUCAGCUGCCAUUGACCUCGGAAUUUUUUAGCACAAUAACAGCAUAUUAAUUAGAAUCACAUAUUCAAAAAUUUGAAAUUUUUCUUUCAAACAGUAAUGCUCACUUGUAGUGUUCAAUAUUUUGCCAGUUCCUUCCAGUGCUCAUUCCACAAUUCCCUUUUUUUAUAUGCAUCCUCCAUAGGUUGGAACUUGUUUUUAAUGUGUGUAGCCCUCAGUUGUUGGCCAUUUCGAGUCAUUUCUUCAGAGAUACUCUUAUAUAGGUGGCUCACUGAUUUGAAUUUUUUACCAACUGAAGGUUUCCAUUCCUCAUAUAAAGCAAGCAUUAAUCUGGUGAUUUUAGAGUCCCAAUGAAAAUGUUUAUGGGAUGAGUCAUGAGCCGGAUAAGGUACCGGCACUGGUUUCAGCAUGGUUUUCACCUGUUGCUGUAAUACUCUGAAAUGUAGAAUAACUCAUUGUAAAAUUUUACUAAGUACUAAAUGAAAACUUCCAAGAAUUUAGAUAACUCACAAUAGGUUCUAAAAGUGCUCAUCUGUUGUACCAGCACCAAGUACUAACAACAGUUUGAGUAAGUCUUAUGUUAACCUAACCUAUCCUAGUCUAGCCUAAAAUACUUGAAAUAAACCUACCUAUUUUUUCCUAAAAGAAUUUGAAAUAGGCGAAAAGAUAGGCAUAAUGAAACAGACAGAUAGGCAGACGAAGUCAAAUCAAAUAGGUCGAAAAUAUUGUAAAGUUGAAUCAAAAUUGAGAGGCACAUGAUAGAGGCUAAAGUUGCAUAAUAUAAAGUUGAAUCUAAUUAUAAGACAUUAUAGUUGAAUCAAGUUCAAAGUUACAGUUGAAUGAAUCAAAUUAUGUCGAAUUAAGGUCAUGUUGAAUCUAAAUUAAAGUUGGAUAAAAUCAUUGAAAUCACAGUUGGAUCGAAUGUCCAAUAUUAAUAUCAACUAUUUACAACAGCACUAGUCAGAGGUUAUUAAAUAAACCUAAAACUAAAAUAAUCCCCAUAAAACCACCUUGGCAUACCUAAAAACUAAUAUCAUAAAGUGCUUCCUUGAGCACGCUGAUUCCGCAGGAAAGGUGGCUGAAUCACGUCAAUAUCUUUUGCUUUGCAUUCGUCCGUAAUAAAAAAAACCUUUAUCAGCCAUUAAGCAAUCUCUGGGACUCAGUUUAUCCAACAAGUUGCAAUCCAAAAAUAUGAAUUUAUCGGAAGCGCGUAUGUGCCACUGUGCGCUUUGCCACGAGGAAUCAUUUUUUGCCGCGCAGUAAGAGCUAUAAUAUAAGUCCAGAUCUACACCCUUAAUGGACAUGAGCUUCCCCCAAAAAGGGUGCCAUCGCUGAAGGCACACGUGCCGAAGACGUGGUGUUUCGACCAUAAAUUAAAUCUGGAGAAAUUAGAAUUGCCGCCAAAAUUCACUCCACCAGCGAAUGAAAUGAAUCGCAUGUGUAUUCUACCUUCAAAAGGAAGGAUCAUUAUCGUCACUUCAUUACGCAAAUGCCAGCAGUGGGAAACUUACUUUUGUAACAACCCUCAUAAUUUUACUUGAUUGUGUGAACUGAAAUUGUCGACAGUCAAGAAAACAGAUGUUUUAGUAAAAUUUCACCAUAAAAGUUUUUUUUUACUUUUUUUGAAACUGAAAUUGCAAAAAUUGCAAAAAAAAACUAUUGUUGCGGCCAAAAUUUUCAGAAGGAGAGAGCUUUUUACAAGAAAGUAACCUUUUUUUGUCGCUAAAAAUUGUUUUUUUUUCAUUGCCAAAAAACGCCAUUUAUAAUCGCUAAUGAGCGUUAUAUCUUGAUCAAUUUUUCAUUGGUUAUGGUUUAAAUGGAGUACAUUGUCUAAAGACCUGAGCAAAUCCGGUUGUGUGAAAUCAGUGUUAUAAUCAGCUUUUACUGUAUGUAAAGUAGAAGGGUUUUCAUCAGUUAUAUCAAAUUAUUUACUGAUAAUGGUGAUAAGUGAAUGUCAUUUAGUGAAUUUUUGCAAUUUUUUUAAACCAAAAAAAUGGAUUUACCUAAAUAUGAUUUCACAACUUCUUCAUUUACAUGAUACUCUGGGAAAUGAAAAUAUGGAACUGUUUGAUGAUUAUUCCGACGAAUAAAGAGCUAGAUUUUGAAAUGGAAUUAAUUUUUCAGUGUUUUGUAACUGUUGCAAGAGUGUGAAUGAUGAAUUUUUAUGAAGAAGUAGUUCUUUUGCGCUCUCAUAAAAAAGUUAUCAGCAUUUUUGAUUUUCAAGUUAGGUACGUAGAUAUUUUUGAAUACGUACGAGAAAAAUUUUAUAAAUUUUAUUUUGUUUUUGGAUUUUUGGAAUGCUAGAGUAAGUAGUAAACUGUAAUGGAUCGACCGCCACAAGUCUAAAAGACCAACCGUAUACAGCUUUAACGGUUUCGGAUUAACAAGGAUUAAUAUAAUAUGGAGUAAUAUAAAGUAGAAAUAUAAUAUAAAGUAAUAUAAAGUAGAAAAUCGAACCGCAAAUAUAAUCUGAUAUGUAGUGAUAUGCAGCGUCUGGCAGUCAUGAACCAGCAAGCGUUAGCAAAUACCGGAACAUAGACGGAGAAAUUGAAUCAGAUUUCAGAAUCCACUAUGGGAAAAUAAUAUUUGACGGUUUUUAGAAAUUGUAUAAAAUGAUAAAACAUAAAAAGAGAGUAUAUAUAAUAACCUAAGUUAAAAAGAGUAAGUAAAACGUUGAUGAUAGUAACUGUUAUGACACAAGCUCUUUUACACAUUCUUACGGAACAUGUUGACGCCCGCAGUGGUGACGCGAGCAAAGACUGGGAUACUCGUAGUUGGUAUGAAGUGUUGGUAGAGUUUCGAUAUUUUAUGAUGAACACAUAAAACAUGAUAAGUAAGCAUAAUAAAAAUAAUGACAGUAAGUACAAAGAUAAGAUGUAAAGGUUCGGUAAGUACGUUACGAAAAAGAUACUGCCAAACCCGCAUGAAGACAUUCGGAGAAUAACACUCGUCAAAGGUAUCAGCAGAGACGUAGGUAGAAGUGUAAUUGCAAUAGCAGUUUGUACCGUUUUGCGGAAAAACUUGACAAUGAUCGUAUGAAAGAGUCCUACAAUAUCUGCGGUCAGCCAAUGAACAAUCUGCGGUGCUAGGAUCUGGUGCGGUAGUUGUUUGAGCUAAGUUGCCAGGAAUGACGAUGAAUAAUAAGGCAAUAGGCAUCCAAGCAGCAGUGCGAGUAGAAAACUUUCCCGAGAUGAAAGCAACAGACAAGAUGGCAGUAAUAGCGAUGUGUAGCCAUUGUAACCAACCAGGGAACUCUGAAACCACACCGCGUAAUUUAUCGAUGUCCUUAUCGAGAGAUGUAAUAUCGUUGUAAAUUUGUUUGGUGUUAUUUUUAAAGCGUUGUUCAGUCUUAGUAAUUUUACCGUCAAUAUCUUCAUUGAUCUCUGAAUACUUAUGAUGUAUCUCGGAAAUAUUUUGUAAUAGUUGAUUAGGUGCAAUUGGAUUUCGAGGUUUUAAUUCAAAAGUAUCACGAUAAACGUUGUCGAUAAUAGUAGAAAUUUUUGAUGGAUCUGGUCCUUUAUAAAUAGUAGAAGUAGCUAAGUGAAUGGAAUCGGGUAUUAAAUUGGACCUGGGAUAUACGAAUUUUAAUUCUUUAUCACUACACUGCUUAUGUGUAAGAUCAAUGGUAUUUUCGCUGUUAUCCAAUUGUGAUGUAAAUUUAUAUACGACCUGAUCACAAGGUAAAAUCAAAGUUGUACCAGCAGGGAUCUGUAUAGAAUUAUUGGAGUAAUCGAGUUUAGAAGGAAAAGGUAAAUAAACUACAUUAGGUGGUACAUAAGUUAGUUGUAAAUUUGAACAAUUGGUAAGAGCUACGGUAUUGUCAGUUAAAGGUGAAUGAUUAGAUAAUACGUCUGACUUGCAAUAAUGAUUAAUACCAAUAGACAUACAUGUUGUAAAUUUUGAAAAAUCAUAGCAAGAAUCUUUGAAACAUAAUACUCUCCCAUUAAAAUUGUUAGUAUAACAUUGUUUAGAAGUACUGUUGUAAUAGGUGAGAGGGUGAUAGUUAAAAAGAGUUGGUAAGACUUCGGUUUUAUGGUCGCGAGUAAUCACAGGGAUGUAAAGAGUGACUUUAAAAUCCAUCAUAUCACCUUGAUUAUUUUCUGUACUAAACGUGAGGUCAUUGUAUAUGAAAGAAGAACGUUCGCUAUUAGAAAGUAAUAGAUUAUAGGAAUUGAGUAAGGAGACAAAUUUUUCAGGAAGUUUUUCUGAACUCUGUUCCAAUAAGCUAUAAGAACCAACUGAAAUACCGGUAAGUAGGCCGUUGUAGUGAUGAUAAUAAGAAUUGCGAUAGAAGGCGUGCAGAUGGAGUAGAUUGAUAAAAAUUCCAAUAGAAAUACAAAACUUUUUAUCCCUAAAAACCAGACAAAUGAAAACCCAAAUCACAUAGUUCCUAAAGUGUGGAGUUUGGGUACUUCAUUAAUAUAAUCACGAAGCUUCCACAAUUUGAAAAAAACAAUGAAUAGAAUUACUUACUUAAUGAUGUGACAACUUUUUCUAGUUAUGACACGCACUACAAAAUGACACUUUAAACGGAUAAAAUAAAGGUAUUUUAAGUUAACUUUACAUAUUGACCUAAUUCAGAGGUUAUCACUCAAAAAAGAUCGCGUUUUGCUUUUAAUUCAAAAACUAAGCGUCUGACCAAAAAACGCCAAGACGCGAAAGUUGUUUAGAAUUCGAUUUUACACCUUGAGGUUUUGCUAUUUUGUUUUAGCGACGGGAUAUAUUAAUUGUAAAAUACAAAGGAAAAUAUGUAAUGCGUGUAGUGAUAUAGGUACCGAUUGUGAUAAUUCAUAUACAGCGACUACGAAUUCUAUAUUGUAAAAUUUCAGCAUCUCCUUUAAAAUACGUUUAUUCGUCGUAAAUGAUUGCGUCGUCUCUAAUGCCAACAUUUCAACGUAACCGGCGAAUAAAGGGAAUUGUGUAAGGAACUCGGUUGGGAAACGAAUCUUCACUGGCCGAAUCUCAUGCGAUGACAUGGCAAAGGCCAAGUCAUGAAUGUAUUGCUGAAAUUUGAAGAAAAAAGUUUUUAAUAAAAAAACAAUAUAAAAUGUUUUUUUGAGAAAAAAAAAAUACAAAAAAAUACAAAAAAAAAUACACUUACAAGGGACCUCCAAUAAAAUUUAUUAAAGUACCAGCAUGAAUAGCUGCUACAAGGCUCCCGAGGGCCGUCUGUUCUUCUAAACAUAGCCCCAGGAGCCUCAUGUACAUACUUGGAAUCGUUCCUCGUUUGAAGUAUGCAGUACUGGAACCAUGCCAGUCUUGGUUCUCAUGACUGCAUCUAAAGACUGGCGCUGACUGGAGCGGAAAUCUGGACGCUUCUUCGGUGGGGUUCUAACAUCGCUCGGACCUAAAUUUAUAACUUCUGUAAAAACAAAAGAUACCUUAAUUAGAAAAAAAACAAAAAAAAACGAAAAUCAAAAUACCUAUCCUAAAUUUGACAAUUUUUUUUUGAAAAUUUGAAAAUAACAUAUGAUGAUUUGCGAGAAAGGAUGAGAGGUCAAUAUUUGAUUAAUUAUACGUGAAAAACACUUUUCACACUUUUCAUUGAACUUUUCGAUUUUCAUUUAACCAAAAUUAAUUUUCUGAAAACUGCAAAGUUCAACUCAAAAUUAUAAAAAAUAAUUUCGAAGAUGGAAGACUGCAUUUAUACAUUUUUGUUAAUAAAAAAAAAAAAAAUUUAUUUAAGAACUAUUCAUACCAAUACUAGGUGAUCGUCUCCUCUUCACCCAGUCCUUUCAACACCUGCAGGUUAGGGGUUUGCAUAAAUAACACCUGCGUGGUUAAUGGUUGGUGGAGGUCUCCUUUUUGUUUUUUUUAAACGCACGAUAAAGAUUGGAAUAAUGAAUGUCUGAAAUCACAAACGGAGAAGUUGAAUUUUGAUAAUUUUUAAUCAUUUGAAAAUAAUGAAAUUCUUACUCACCAACUUAGCAACUCCUCUGACUGAUAAACAAUUAUUAGGAUCUUUGAGAAUAUCCAGACCCUUUUUCAAUUUAUCUUGAUCCACAUGAAAAUGUCUUUUACCUCUGGGAUCUGGUUUAUAUUUCCGCAUUUUGAUGCUGAAAAAAAAGUGUUUCUAUUCACUCCAAAAACCACAAAAUUUUGACGGAUUCACUGUCAUUUAGUAUAAAUAAAUUUUAUGAUGGAAAAUUAUGACAGGACGCUCAAGCUUAGGACAUGAGCUAACGUGUUGAGGUCUUUCUCUCUGAUUGCGCUGACGACACAAGAAUCGGAUAACCGAAGUCCAAUGAGUUCAAUUUCUGAAGGUGUCGCCAUUGUGUGCAAUUCCUGAACUGCGUUGUACGCUAGGUACAAUUGUACAUAGAAAAAUGAAAAGCCCAAGGACUCUGCCAAUUUGUGAUAACAGAAAACAGGGUUUAUUUUAGAAAUUUAGAAACUCCAAAACAUACUCUUUUUAAAAUGGUUAUUAUUGAAAAAUACACAACUGUAUAAAAGUUUCAGUAAAAAGUUGAUUAUGAACAAAUACGUACAAUACAAUUCACAAAGUUUGAUAAAGUUACGGAAUAAGUAACAAGUACUUUUAAGUACUACAGGUAGCACAAUAACUAGUUACAAUUAAAUAAGUCAGCAGAGUAAGCUUCAUAUGACCGGACAUUCACGCCUAAGGCAUGUGCUAAUAUCUUUUAGUCUUUCUCUCUGAUUGCGCUGGCAACACAAGAAUCGGAUAACACUGAUAACAGAAGGGCAAUGAGUUUAAUUUCUGAAGGUUUCACUAUUGCGUGCAAUUCCUGCACUGUGUUGUACACUAGGUGCAUGGAAAAAUGAAAAGCCUAAGCACUCUGCCAAUUUGCGAUGAUAGAAAACCGGGUUUAUUUUAGAAAUUUAGAACUCCAAAAUAUUCUCUUUUAAAAUGUUUAUUAUUGAAAAAUACAAAAUUGUAUAAAAGUUUCAGUAACUACCCACUGCAUUAAAUCUCCAAUGGAAAGGAUUCCAGUCAUCAUUGCUAGAUGCUCCUCCCAAAUAAGUGCCAAGUAACAUAAAAGCCACAGGUAUGAGUAAUGCAAACUCACCAUUAGGAUCAACCAUGGAUGCAGGUGAAUUGCCAGCAUAUUUGUAUUGACUAAAAUAUUGUUCAUUCGGAUCAGGCUGGUAGAAGCGACCAAUGCUUUGAUCAUAAAGACGAGCAUGAAAAUUGUAUAAGUUCAUUUAAUCAUCUAAUUCUUGACUGAGAUAAAGAUAUGAAAAAUCACAAUUUGGGUAUCUAAUGUAUUUUCGCAUCAUUUCACCAUAAGGUGGAAACGUCUCCUCGAAUCGAUUGUGAAAUUCUACAGCUGGAGGAAGAAUCUCCUGGUUAUUGUUUACUCUCCUCAAGACAUCAAGCAAAUUGUUCUGAGGAAAGAAAAAUCAUUAAUAUCCAAUUUUAUAAUACCAAAAAACCAAAAAAAAAUGUAUAAAAUUAUCUUUAUUUGCCAAUAAUGACAAUUAAAAUAGUGACAUGACAAUUAAAACAGUGACAUGACAAUAGGGAGCAUACUGAAUGCCACCCCAUAUGAUUCUUGCCCUCCCAGUACCCAGCGUCAGAGGAACAUAACGUUAUAUUCUCGUCCACUGAGGACUCCAAUAUUCGUUGGCCAAUCUUUGUUGACCUUUACAAUCGACAUACUGAAACAAAAAGUAGAAUCAGAAUUUUUCUUUUCAAGGAAAACUCAAAAAAAAAUAAUAAUAAUAAAAAAAAGUAAACACUCUUACCCAGCUGUUCUCAACUGCAUGUCUCCCUGGAGCAGGGUCGACAACAGGCUCCACAUUUAUUGAUUCAAAAAUAGGCACAUUUACAAGUCUGACGACAGGCCUCUCAUUUGAACGGCUGGCAAUAGGUUCUUGAUUCGAGAGACCAGCAACAGGCUCUAUUUUCAUAAGUGCAUUGGAAGACGACACCUCCGGAUCUGGUGUCCUGAGGCACUCUUCCAUGCCCACCAACCCUGAAAAAAAAAACUUACCCACUGCAUUGCCAGCAUAUUUGUAUGGACUAAAGUAUUGUUCAUUCGGAUCAGGCUGGUAGAAGCGACCAAUGCUUUGAUCAUAAAGACGAGCAUGAAAAUUGUAUAAGUUCAUUUCAUCAUCUAAUUCUUGACUGAGAUAAAGAUAUGAAAAAUCACAAUUUGGGUAUCUAAUGUAUUUUCGCAUCAUUUCACCAUAAGUUGGAAACGUCUUCUCGAAUCGAUCAUGAAAUUCUACAGCUGUAGGAAGAAUCUCCUGGUUAUUGUUAACUCUCCUCAAGACAUCAAGCAAAUUGUUCUGAGGAAAGAAAAAACAUUAAUAUCCAAUUUUAUAAUACCAAAAAACCCAAAAAAAAUGUAUAAAAUUAUCUUUAUUUGCCAAUAUUGACAAUUAAAAUAGUGACAUGACAAUAGGGAGCAUACUGAAUGCCACCCCAUAUGAUUCUUGCCCUCCCAGUACCCAGCCUCAGAGGAACAUAACGUUCCUAUUAUACUCGUCCCCUGAGCACUCCAAUAUUCGUGGGCCAAUCUUUGUUGACCUUUACAAUCCACAUACUGAAACAAAAAGUAGAAUCAGAAUUUUUCUUUUCAAGGAAAACUCAAAAAAAAAAAAUAAUAAUAAUAAUAAUAAUAAAAAAAAGUAAACACUCUUACCCAGCUGUUCCCAACUGCAUGUCUCCCUGGAGCAGGGUCGACAAAACAGGCUCCACAUUUAUUGAUUCAAAAAUAGGCACAUUUACAAGUCGGACUACAGGCCUCUCAUUUGAAGGGCUGGCAAUAGGUUUUUGAUUCGACAGACCAGCAACAGGCUCUAUUUUCAUAGGUGCAUUGGAAGACGACACCUCCGGAUCUUGUGUCCUGAGGCACUCAUCCAUGCUCACCAACCCUGAAAAAAAAAACUACCCACUGCAUUAAAUCUCCAAUGAAAAGGAUACCAGUCAUCAUUGCUAGAUGCACCUCCCAAAUAAGUGCCGAGUAACAUAAAAGCCACAGGUAUGAGAAAUGCAAACUCACCAUUAGGAUCAACCAUGGAUACAGGUGAAUUGCCAGCAUAUUUGUAUGGACUAAAAUAUUGUUCAUUCGGAUCAGGCUGGUAGAAGCGACCAAUGCUUUGAUCAUAAAGACGAGCAUGAAAAUUGUAUAAGUUCAUUUCAUCAUCUAAUUCUUGACUGAGAUAAAGAUAUGAAAAAUCACAAUUUGGGUAUCUAAUGUAUUUUCGUAUCAUUUCACCAUAAGGUGGAAACGUCUCCUCGAAUCGAUCGUGAAAUUCUACAGCUGGAGGAAGAAUCUCCUGGUUAUUGUUAACUCUCCUCAAGACAUCGAGCAAAUUGUUCUGAGGAAAGAAAAAACAUUAAUAUCCAAUUUUAUAAUACCAAAAAACCAAAAAAAAAAAGUAUAAAAUUAUCUUUAUUUGCCAAUAAUGACAAUUAAAAUAGUGACAUGUCAAUAGGGAGCAUACUGAAUGCCACCCCAUAUGAUUCUUGCCCUCCCAGUACCCAGCCUCAGAGGAACAUAACGUUACUAUUAUACUCGUCCCCUGAGCACUCCAAUAUUUGUGGGCCAAUCUUUGUUGACCUUUACAAUCGACAUACUGAAACAAAAAGAUUUUGAAAACUUACCUCCGAGUCAGUGUGCAAAAUUGAUAAAGGAAGAUGUAACUUCCAUGAGAUUCAAGUUGAAUCUUAAAAAAAAAAAAAAAAAAAAAAAAACGAAAACAUUAGUUGAUGAAACACAAAAAUAUUUGUUUUAAAAAAAGACUUACCCAUUAAAUUGAUAGUUUUGGCUCCGUUUUUUUCUGUAGUGUUGUAUAAAGAAUGCCAGGAAUGCAAAUAUGGCAGCAACAAUUAUUAAUUCAAGAAACAUUCCAGCAGAAUAUGGAGUUGCCUUUUAAGGUGGAUUGGCAUUCUCACUCAAUUUUACGAAUUGCAAAAUUGUAGACAUUUAAUGUGAAAAAAAAGGAUUACUUUUCCAAAUUUACACUGUGUCCUGGUAAAAUUGUGGAACCAAUGUGCUUCAUCAUCAAAAGGAAGUUUGAUUUUUUUUAUCAUUGCCUCCAUUUUUUUUACCGUCAUUUUCAUUUUUUUUCUCCUCUUGUUGUUUCCAGUUGAUCUUUUUCUUCUACCAACACUGUGGGUGUUCCAUCCAACACCAGACUGUUCUGGCUGCGGAUCUAGUUGAUUAACACCUCUAUUCUUCUUCUUCUUAUCAACUUUUAUUCCAUGGCCCUGUGGAAAUUGAACAGUUUUACUUUAUAGCUCUCAAAUCCAAAAUCUGCGGAGUUGGGGGUACAGUGAUCUGAAAGGAAAUAAAUAGGUACCUUACCCAUGCAUUAAAAUCGCCAAACCAAUAAGCUUACAAAUUUUACUUUCUUACAAUACCCUCAUCUUGGAACAUGUUGUUCCCCAAUCUGCCUAUUGGUAAUAGUCGCCUGCAAAGCCUUUUAAAACGAGGCAGAUUUGCAUCACUAACUUCUAAAUUCAGAAUGUCAGUGUAAUAAAUAUGCCAUCCUUUAGCUCGGUGAUACUUCAAGAAGGCCAACUCUUGAAAAGCAAUAUUUGGUCUCUCUGCAGCAGUGAGUUGAGCUUCACGUAAUGCAUUGUUAUAAUUUCCUGGAGUACUUGAGUAUAUCGUCAUUCUUGUAUAGCUGUGUGCUAAUCUGUAACAGAAUUAUUUAUUGUACAAAAUUAGAAUUGAUCCAAAUUGCAAUUCUUAGAAAUUGAGGUUAAAACCCAGUUGAGUUUCAUUCAAAAGUACCACAGACGUAAUGUAGGAGUGAAACAUACGUAGGUAUAACCUUAUGAUUGAGACAAGAAUGAAACACAUACGUGAGUUGGGACCAACAAAUGAGAUAUUUUUUUUUCAAAUCUAUAUAAAUUUUUAUCUAAAUUUAUAAAGAAAAAUUGUUACAGAUUGAUGAGAAAAUUGCAAAUAAAGCGUGUACUUAUUGUAAAAUAUUGUUUAAUUUAUAAUAAAAACAACUUGAAAGUUGAUAAGUAGAUAAAAAAAAUCAAACUAAACUUCAAAAUCCACAACCAAUCACACAAAUAUGAAUAUCAACUGCGGUAUUCAAGUAUCUGUUUUUGGUGUUUUGUGAGGAGGAGGAUGAUGAUGGAUAAUACACAUCGCGUUAUUCACGACAACGUUUAACGAAUCACCACAUCCCGCACAAGUAUUCAUUUUCGUUGUUAACUAUAUGUCUACAACCUGCGAUAUACAACAAAAUAAACCACAACUAUCGGUUAUAAACCAACCUGUAAAAUAUAGGCGUCAGUGUUGCCAAUUUAGCGGUUUCCUAGCGAUUUUGAACAUAGAAAACCGCAAAAAAUGUCAAUCUAGCGGCCUCUGAAUUUUGUGAAACACAUGUUACCAGUACGUGUUUUACAGUAGGUACGGUGUAAACGUUUAGUGCCCCGCUAACUCCGUUAAUUCCAUUCUUUUAAAUGUUUUAAUGUAUUGUUUUAUGAUUUGUCAUCGUUAGCAUUAUCAGUGUAAUUUUGUGCGUGAACUGUGGUAAAUCGCUCUCCCUACGGCAUACUAUGUAGUCGUGUGUUGGCGUCGUAGAUUGUGAUAAAUUGAAAAAAAAUCCAUCGCCGGUAAUAGCGACAGCAGCAACGAAGCUUUUUAUCGCGUAUUCAUACGCUGCGUAGUAAAAACGCAAAAUGAAGGGUUACGUGUUUAUUUCAAAUACACGGACGGGAGUUACACCGUAAACAUUUUAGUUAUACGAAUAAAAAAACAGCGGGAAGUAAGGUGAUGCGAUGUAAAUUUUUUUUAUAUAUACUACUUUGCUUAUAGGCACGCACCAUAUAAAAAGUGAUUCUUGUAUAUUUGGUGUGGCAUUUCAUCUUUUGUGAGUUACCAAUACUGUCGGUCGUCUUCGUCGUCGUCAUCGAAUGCUGAUGUCGCUGCAGUUGCGGAUAUUGAUAAUUUUGUAAAAGAAGCUGUUGCUGCUGUUGCCAAUAUAGAUGGUUUUAUUAAAGAAAGUACUGCCACCUGGUCCACGUUAAAUCGAGCCAUUUACAAACUUUUUUUUUUUUUUUUUCUAGAUUUUGUAAAUGGAUCGAUUUAACGUGGACCAGGUGGACCAAGUGGACCAGCUUAUUUAUACUUAACUCAAAGUUAAAAAAAAUAAAAAAAAUAAUAAAACACAAUGCGACCGCUGUAUGUAUACAGCAUUUCCAAUUUUUUAUCCACGGGUUUAGUAAUUAAGAAUUCUGCGGUGCCAAAUAAUAAACAAAAAUAUUAAAUGUAUAUUUUUAUAAAACUAUAAAACAAUGCGAAAUAAUUAAAUAAUAUUACAGUUACAAGGACGAAUUCUUCAAACCAUGUAAUAUUAUAUAAGUUUUCUUAACUUUUAAAUACACGGUGCACUCGUA